rnacentral:rRNA from 1 species
UCUGGUUGAUCCUGCCGGAGAUCACCGCUAUUGGGGUUCGGCUAAGCCAUGCGAGUCAUUGGCAGCAAUGCCAAGGCGUAAUGCUGAGUAACACGUUGUUAACCUGCCCUUAAGUCCGGGAUAAUCUCGGGAAACUGAGUCUAAUACCAGAUAGGCGAUAAUUCCUGGAACGGUUUAUCGCCCAAAGCUUCGGCGCUUAAGGAUGGGACUGCGGUAGAUUAGGUUGAUAUCAGGGUAAUGGCCUAAUAUGCCUAUAAUCUAUAGGGGCUGUGAGAGCAGUUGCCCCCAGAUGGGUUCUGAGACACGAACCCAGGUCCUAAGGGACGCAGCAGGCGCGAAAACUCCGCAAUGCACGCAAGUGUGACGGGGGAACCUCAAGUGCCAGCACCACAAGUGUUGGCUUUUCAUGAGUUCAAACGGCUCGUGGAAUAAGUGGUGGGCAAGACCGUUGCCAGCCGCCGCGGUAAUAACGGCGCCACAAGUGGUGAUCACGCGUAUUGGGUCUAAAGCAUCCGUAGCCUGACGACCAAGUCAUUUGUGAAACUUCACAGAAAACUGUGAAAAUUGCAAGUGAAACUAGUCGUCUUGGGACCGGGAGGGGCUAGAGGUACUUCUAGGGUAGAGGUGGAAUUCUGUAAUCCUAGAGGGACCACCUGUGGCGAAGGCGUCUAGCUGGAACGGAUCCGACGGUGAGGAAUGAAAGCUAGGGGAGCAAAGGGGAUUAGAUACCCCCGUAGUCCUAGCUGUAAACGAUGCCCGCUAGGUAUUGCCUGUUUUUCGUGAACAGGCAGUGCCGUAGGGAAGCCAUUAAGCGGGCCACCUGGGGAGUACGGUCGCAAGGCUGAAACUUAAAGGAAUUGGCGGGGGAGCACACAAGGGGUGCAGUCUGCGGUUCAAUUGGAUUCAACGCCGGG